rnacentral:rRNA from 1 species
GGAUAACCUACCCUUAGGACCGGGAUAACCCUGGGAAACUGGGGAUAAUACUGGAUAGGCAAUUUUUCCUGUAAUGGUUUUUUGUUUAAAUGUUUUUUCGCCUAAGGAUGGGUCUGCGGCCGAUUAGGUAGUUGGUUAGGUAAUGGCUUACCAAGCCGUUGAUCGGUACGGGUUGUGAGAGCAAGAGCCCGGAGAUGGAACCUGAGACAAGGUUCCAGGCCCUACGGGGUGCAGCAGGCGCGAAACCUCCGCAAUGUGAGAAAUCGCGACGGGGGGAUCCCAAGUGCCAUUCUUAACGGGAUGGCUUUUCAUUAGUGUAAAAAGCUUUUGGAAUAAGAGCUGGGCAAGACCGGUGCCAGCCGCCGCGGUAACACCGGCAGCUCUAGUGGUAGCAAUUUUUAUUGGGCCUAAAGCGUCCGUAGCCGGUUUAAUAAGUCUCUGGUGAAAUCCUGCAGCUUAACUGUGGGAAUUGCUGGAGAUACUAUUAGACUUGAGACCGGGAGAGGUUAGAGGUACUCCCAGGGUAGAGGUGAGAUUCUGUAAUCCUGGGAGGACCGCCUGUUGCGAAGGCGUCUAACUGGAACGGUUCUGACGGUGAGGGACGAAAGUUAGGGGCGCGAACCGGAUUAGAUACCCGGGUAGUCCUAACUGUAAACGAUGCGGACUUGGUGUUGGGGUGGCUUUGAGCUGCUCCAGUGCCGAAAGGGAAGCUGUUAAGUCCGCCGCCUGGGA